rnacentral:misc_RNA from 1 species
GAUGAAGAACGCAGCGAAAUGCGAUAAGUAAUGUGAAUUGCAGAAUUCAGUGAAUCAUCGAAUCUUUGAACGCACAUUGCGCCCGCCAGUAUUCUGGCGGGCAUGCCUGUUCGAGCGUCAUUUCAACCAUCAAGCCCCCGGCUUGUGUUGGGGACCUGCGGCUGCCGCAGGCCCUGAAAAGCAGUGGCGGGCUCGCUGUCACACCGAGCGUAGUAGAUUUCAUCUCGCUCAGGGCGUGCUGCGGGUUCCGGCCGUUAAACCAGCUUCAUAACCCAAGGUUGACCUCGGAUCAGGUAGGAAGACCCGCUGAACUUAAGCAUAUCAAUAAGCGGAGGA